rnacentral:lncRNA from 1 species
AUCUAUCUAGGUAAGAGCUAGAAAGAAAAUGAUCAAUCAAGACUCAACCCAUUGGGGAUAUAACUCAAGGGGAGUAACUCCAUCCAGAAAAUCUACUGGAGAGGAAACUAAAAUAACAACCAUCCACGAGGAAACAAACUCAGUGGGGAAACAGAGAAAGGUUAAAGUCUUUCUGCUUAAGGGGAUGACACUCUACAAUUGGAAGAGAACAGACGCCA